GAGUACGGCCGCAAGGCUGAAACUUAAAGGAAUUGGCGGGGGAGCACUACAACGGGUGGAGCCUGCGGUUUAAUUGGACUCAACGCCGGAAAACCCACCGGGGGCGACAGCAAUAUGUAGGUCAGGUUAAAGGUCUUACCUGAAUCGCUGAGAGGGGGUGCAUGGCCGUCGUCAGUUCGUACUGUGAAGCAUCCUGUUAAGUCAGGCAACGAGCAAGACCCGUGCCCACUGUUACCAGCAUAUCCUUUAUGGAUGAUGGGGACUCUGUGGGGACCGCUGCUGCUAAAGCAGAGGAAGGUGCGGGCUACGGUAGGUCAGUAUGCCCCGAAUCUCCCGGGCUACACGCGGGCUACAAUGGUUGGGACAAUGGGUAUCUACUCCGAAAGGAGUUGGCAAUCUCUUAAACCCAAUCGUAGUUCGAAUUGGGGGCUGUAACUCGCCCUCAUGAAGCUGGAAUCCGUAGUAAUCGCGUUUCAACAUAGCGCGGUGAAUCUGUCCCUGCUCCUUGCACACACCGCCCGUCAAACCAUCCGAGUGAGGUAUGGGUGAGGGCACGAACUUAGUGUCGUGCUCGAACCUAAAUUUCGCAAGGAGGGUUAAGUCGUAACAAGGUAGCCGUAGGGGAAUCUGCGGCUGGAUCACCUCCU
rnacentral:rRNA from 1 species